UUAAGGCAACGUCAGUUAAGUCAGAAGGUAAGAUUUAAAAGGUAGGUAAAGAACUCAAUUGUAGCUUUACAAGAAAUUGUAAUGUGAAUGGAUGACAUCGUUUUGUUAUAACAAUUAUUUUGACAAUGACAAUUCUUUAACAAUAUUUCAAAACAAUACUGUAGUUUGAUUAUGAGUACAUAUAUGACUUAUAACAAGACGUUACAGUAAUACUAUUCUGUAAAGAUCUUGUUUAUAUUUUUUUUAUAGAAACCAUGUUUACAUUUUCUACAUUUUAACAUGACUAAAAUAGAAUGCUUCAAUAAUCAUGACAUUGUUUUAUUUUUAAAUGUCGGGUAGAUAGGUCAUGUCAUAUUGAUUGUUAUCUAUGAUCAAACGGUACCUUCAUAUUGUUUAAAUACCCAAUUCAACAACUUAUAGUUUCAUGCAUGACUUUGCAUUUACAAAACUGAACUUUUAGGUUACAGACGAUAGCUAUGGCAAUUGUGAUCACACAAAUAAAUAAAAAAAACAAUAUAGCGUCUCUCGAGUGAUUCAUUUGUUGGAAAACCUGAUAAUGUUUUAUUUGAUAUUUUACCAGGUUUAUAUACAUUCGAUAUUAAACUAAGAACCAACAAAAAUCCCGAUGCUCUAUCGCCUUCACAAUAAUUAUCAAAAAUCAUCUAUAUUUUUAUCAAGAUUGAUAUGAAAUCAAAUUAAAAAAGAUGCAAGUUAAUGUCCUUAAAUUUUAAGAUGAUCAAUGCCUUUUUUAAUCAUAAUUCAUAUCGCCUAUCAAUUAUCCAAUUUUUCAUAGUAGUAAAAUUUCCAAAAAUAGACGUUUCAAUAAAUUCCUUAUUAUGAAACAAUUGAAAACAUUUGUCGUAAUAAUCACAUCAAAUUUCCCGAACACCGAUUGAACACAGUAUUCGUACGUGGUGUUUUCAUACGGUUGCAUUUUCUUUUGUAUUUUUCAUCUUCAAAGAAAACAGUCCACUAGAAAUAAUAUCGGGCCAAAGCAUUUGAAUUUUAGAUAAAGGUAUUUUUUGUAUUUAUAAAGAAUAACAGGAAUUGACUUUGUACACACAGAAAGUAGCCAAGCUGCAUUUUAAAUGGGUAAACGUACCGAGAAACUUUAUACUUUUAAUCAGCAUAAAUUCAUCAAUUAUGAGGAACACAUUAUGUAUGUACCUUUUUCAAGCAACAGGUUUAAUAAACCGUAAUACAUAAAUCAGUGAUAUGAUAGUUAGCAUUUGAUACAAGAAGUUAAUUAUGUAAACAAAAAGUUGCAAAUCAUUUUUGUUUUGUAAAAACUCAGCCUGAUAUUUUUUCAAAUCAAUUGAAAAAAUUAUUGUCUCCUGAUGUGAAUAUAUAUUUACACUGGUUAUUUCUCUAUAACCUAAAAACAUAACUUGUAUAUUUUCAAAUAUACAAUUGCAGAUAAACUUUUUUCUGAUUCUCGUGUGGGUAAUAUUUAGUGAUUUGUCUAAUGUUCUAUGGACACAUAUGUUUUUUGUCGUUAUUUGCUUUUUAAUAUGUUGUUGUCGUUUUUCAUUUCUUGAUGUAAGGUACAUGUAGGUGUGUAUCAAACUUUGAUUUUAUACUGAAAUGAUUAUGAAGGAAAAAAAAGUCGCAAAUAUCAAUUUCAUCUAUCUUUUUUUUAAAACAAGAUAUUUUCUUUUAAUUGUUUAGAUAAUAGAAAACACCACCAUGUUUUCGUCAAUAUGAAAUGCCAAAUGCCAGAUAGAAAAGAAUCUGAGAUCUCCUUUAUUGUCUUGAAAUCAGAUAUAUCUGUAAUGUGCUAAAAGUGUAUUAAAUAACAUUUGUUCGUAUUAUAUUUACAAUCUUAUCCGAACGUAUAUGGAUAGAUGUCAUUUUCUGAGUGUUAGAAACUGUAAGUAAAAGCAGCUAGCUAAGAAAAUAUUGAAGGAACACGUUUUGUUCAGGCUUAUUCAAUAAUUGAGGAGUGUUUAUUUAUUUGUUCUAAAUUGUCGAAAAUAGGAUUUAAUACAUGGUUUCUAAAUACUCGUAUUUUUUUUUUUUUAAAGAUUAUCCGUACAGGAAACAGAUGACUAUUGGAUCAACAGCUCUCAAUACCACCAGCAAAGUAACAUGUACGUUUGUUUUGACAUGAAUAAUGAAAAAACACUUGUAUUUCGGUUUAACUCACAAAAAAGCUAAAUAGGAUUGAAUAUGCGGAUCGAUAUCGUGUAUAUAAAUCUGUGGUUAUGACAUGUUGUUAUUAAAUAUAGAAUACAUUUGAUUGCUUGUCCACUUAACUUUCAGUUGUUUUGGUUGAAUAUUUGACAAUUAUGGGCCUGAAUCAUCCUUUAAGAUAUAUUUGUUUUAUCGAAAUGAGCCUCUGGUACUUUUAAUGCUCCUGCAAAUAGUAUUCAUUAACCAGUUAUGUAUGUGUGUAUGUACAAUAAACGCAUCCGUUUCUUCACAUGGUAUAUACUAAUAUAAAAUAUGAAUGCGUAAUAUAUAAUUAAAAACUUGAAGUACAUACAAAAGGAAGAACACCUAAUGUAUACCUUAUUUUUAUUUGCUAUAGGAGAAAUAUAUAAUACUGAUAAAGCUAAGCAGCUCAACUAAAGUUGUGUACAGAAGAGACAUACAGUACUACUCAAAGAACAGGGUUAAUGCACAAUAUAGCUUUAACUAUACUUUUAACUGGUAUCAUGUAUGCACUAUUCCUUGAAACAAAAGGUAACUUAAUAAAUAUUUGUCUUUACUGCUUUGUCAUCCAAAAUAUAGUGCUCGCUUGUGUUUUUUUUAUUUAGAAAUAGGUAGAUUGUUUAUUGACUUAAAAUCUUAUAGUCUUAUAAUGUUAUCAAAAUCUAUAUUACUGGUAUGUUUUGAUUUGUUUCUAAAUUAUAAGAUGUAAGCUCCCAAACUAGCAGCUCUAUGAAAACGUUUAAAACAAAUGUGAAAAUUGCCUUUCAUUGAACGCGUUAGUAGUAGGAGUCUUCUUCAAAUAGAUAUUUUGCUCGAUUACGUCUAGUCUUAAUGAACGAUUUAAAAAUAACAAUUACUAAAGCCGUUUCUAAACAAUCCAGACCAAAACGUUUAAAGUAUAUAGGACUACUGUGUAUGUUUCCUUCAUAUUUCUUUGGAAAACCAUGUGUAAAAUCUGUAUUAAAGGGUACUUGAUCAGAAAGGAAAUCAAACAGUGUUUUGGGGAAAAGUAGGAAAGUCGUUUAAAAAACAAAUCUACCAAUUGACACGCUUUCCAAAAGAUGAUUACGUCAAUGCAUAGGUUUAUCAGCGUUUUUACAUUCUAAAUUAUGAUACCAAAAUUUACGUACUCUAGUUUCUCUACUUACAUGUAAUUUUUUUCAGUUACAAUAUAUUUGUAUGGCUUACAUAACUAUCACUACAAACUGCUCAGAGUCUGAAAUGACCAGUUUGUGUGCUCGACUAGUAAAGUCGAUCACAUAUGUUACUCAACGAGUCUCGACUAGGUCUCGAGAGUACUUUACUGUACUUAAUUACAUUUGACUAGGUCUUGAUUUUACUUAAUAAGCCUGAUUCAGUACUUAAUGAUCUUGAUGAAGUCUAAAUUGGUCUCGACCAAGGUUCAAUAAGUCUCGACCUGUCUCGACUAGUCUCAACUCAGUCUCAACCAGUCUUGACCUGUCUCUACUAGUCUUGACUCAGUCUUAACCAGUCUUGGCCUAUCUCGACUAGUCUGGACCUUCAAAUUUAGUCAUGGCUGGUGUAAAUCAGCCCAUCUAACUAAAGAUACUUAAAUAAAGAUCCUACAUAAUUCCAGUUAAUUUGGUAGUUUGAUUCAUUACUGUAAAAUGAAAGAAUUUGAUAAAUAGGUAAAAAAAAUUAAAUUCAGAUAGGCAUCUUUAAUUUUUAAUAACUUUUUCAAAUCAACUUAGAUUUUCAUCAAACUAUGCAGCUAUCAUAGUAAUAUGUUGAUCUUACUGAAUCACAGGUCAUCAUGUGGUUUGGUGUAUUGCUGUCAAAUUUGAAAAUUUAAUUAAUCUACUGGUUCUAGGUGAAAAAAAAAGCUACAAUUUGCAGUUUGGACUAUAUUCAGAUAGUAUGCUUUAAUUCUUUUAAUAACUUUUUUGAAAUCAAAUUAGAUUUUCAUCAAACAAUACAGCUAUCUUAGUAAUAUAUUUAUCUUACUGAAUCCAAGGUUGUUAUGUAGUUUGGUGCAGUGCUGUCAAAUUUACGAAUUUACUUAAUCUAGGUAAAAAAAGCUAGGAUUUGCAAUUUGGGACAAAAUUCUACGCAAUCUAUUGAUCGUCUUUAUGUCACUUAAAGCAUUCGAGUUAGACUAACAUUUUACCCAAAAUGUACCACAGAAGCAAAAUGAUAACUUUAUCCUUGUGGUAUAUACUAGUCAACAAGACAUGAUACACAAGUUUGAACUCAAAGGUAUCAUAAAACUGUCCAAUAAUCCAACGAAAAACAUUUAUUAACAAAGCAAAAGCGUAUGACUUAAAGAAUCUGAUCAUAUUAGAAAGUAAGAAUAUACCAAGUUAUCGAGGUCAAAUUUAUUUUGCGGAAAAUGGUGACAAAAGUCAGCAUUUAAUUUCGCAGUUUUUGAUUAAGUUUCAAAUGUUAAGUUCUAUUAUCGAUUAUUGAAUGUUCUUGUAAAAAAUGUUUGCCUUUUUAUAAAUUGAUUUGAAAAGAAUAUAACACUCUGUAAGAAAUUAGACCAAUUCCAUUAUAUAUGGAAAAAAAUAUUGUCUUGUAUAGUGUCUUUUUUUACUAGUAUAUAUUUUACACUUGAUUGAAGCAAUUUGGCACAAUGCAUGUAUGUGCAAAACAUCAUGUGUAAAAUGAAAGUCGGAAACCAUUUAAAUGUUCCAACAGGGAACUUUCAACAAUAUUCUAUAUGAGAGUUUUACCAUAGAACUAUAGAUGCAUUUAAGUCUCCGUCAAAAAGUGUCAUGCAUCUAGAAAAUGAUAAUGAAUGUCGCUUGGCAAACAAAUGCAUUUUUUUGUCUUAAUCUUUAAUCGUACCCUUUCCUUUAGUUUACCUAUGAUGUUUAAUUCAUAUCACAUUGAUAUUGCAUAUCAUAUCUUAUGUAUAUCAUUACAAGGGUUAAUAUGCUGUUUCCUUCUGAAUGUAUACAAUCAGACGGUGCAGAAGAUACCGUUGAUCAGGUUAAUCCUUGUGGCAGUAUAUAUAGAUUGUGACAUUGAUUAUGACUGCAACAUCAUAUAAUUGUAAUGACAUAAUUGGUAUUUUAUUUAGUCCUUUUUGUAGCUCGAUGAAUAUGAUGAACAUGUUAAACUCUAGUCCUGUACUAGACGUAUUCAUGCUCGUGAAAAUAUAGAGUACCUAAUCCCCAUGGUGUCUCUAUUAAUGACAAACACCGUUGAGUUUUCAUCCCAUUAUCUCUAAAUCUUAUUUAAGUGACUUUUCAGUUUAUACAUUCAUUAUCAGUUCUUCUGUUUGGAACUACAAUCGAAACUUAUAGGCAUCACCUCGGAUAAUGCCAUUUCUGCAAAAUGUGAUUUCCAAAGCACCUAUGAUUGCGUUUGAUAAACUCCGCUUUUUUGUAGAUGUGCUAGUGAAAUAAAUUUCUUGGUAGAGGGUUCUAAAUACAGCACAAACAACAUUUGCUUAAAGAACAUAAAAAUGAAAAGCAUAUUUGAACACAACGCGUUUGACUAACAGAAAUGAUGUUCUUAAAACCUGCUGACUGCCAUUGACGAUUGUCAAAUGAACUAAUCAAGAGUUGUAUCGUGGAUCUUAAUUAUUAAUUUAAUACCAAACAGAAAACAAUAGACUUUCGGAAAAGAUGGAAUACCGCAAACUUGGGAUGCAAAAAUUUGUAAACCAUAUUCGGAUUUCGACAAUAAAAUAUCUUCUUUGAUGUUAGAGAUCAACACGGCAUCUGUCAUUUACCUUUAGGAAAGACACUUGCAUCCCAAAGAGUCGACAUAGGAUGAACGGAUCAUAUAAAUCCGAAGGAAAUUAUACAACCAGCCCAAACGAAACAAUAAAAAUAGUCAAAAUUAAACAACGUUCAAAGCUAUGAUUGCAUUUGUUAAAAUUCGCAAUUGUUAUACGUGUACAUGUAGAGCAAAUUUCUUGGUAGAGAGGUCUAAAUACAACAAUUUCUUAAAAGAACACAAAAGUGAAUUGUUACUAAAUGAAUUUGACUAACAGAUCGAGCAACCGAUGUCCUGAACCCUAAUAACUGUCAUUGACGAUUGCCAAAUAAAGUGGAUCUUUUAAAUUGUGAAUUUAAAACCAAACAAACAACAAUAAACUUGCGGAGAAGAUGUUAUACUGCAAACAUGAGGUGCAAAUAUUUGUACACCAUAUUCGGAUUUCGACAAUUAAUGUUAGAAAUCGAAACGGUAUUCGGAUGGUCAUAUAAUUCACCUCAAUUUGGGAUGAAUAUAUUUAUGCUAUGAACAUGUAUUGGUUAUUCCGGGAAAAUGCUAGCUUACAGUUUUCACGGAUGACUUCAAAUAUAACUGCUGCACAUCUAUGAAUCAGAAACAACUCGAAUUAUUUGGAACUAAUUACGACACAUUUGAAAAUAAUAAGAAGAGUAAACAUUUCCCUUCUCUAACAUUGUCUAAAUACUGUUCAAAUAUCUGUUCUUACAUGACUACCUACAAAUCUCUGCCACUUGAUUGCAAGCUAGAAAACUAAUGAUACUGUGUUAUUUGAUACAAGUUGUAUGCUGUUCUGAAAACAUAAAAACAAAACAUAAACAUAGAAACAGACAUUCUCUGAAACUUUGUAAAACAUAACUAUUGAAUACAAUGUUAACUCCUUGAGUGGUCGUAUGCUUUUUUAACAUGUCAUUUUUCUUAUUUUCUAUGAUUAAUGUGUAGUAAUUACAAGUACAUCUGUAAUGAGAUGAUUAUUUCUUUUUAAGCCAGAUGUACUAGCAAAUUCAUUAAAUAUCUUUGAAAUAUCGAAUAAAGUGUUUCUUUCUUUAUUUAAUAAGUCUUUAAGAAAUGUGCAUAUUAAAUUAGAAGUACUCAAUACAUUUUUAGAGUGAUACUUGUAUACCAGUUCAUAUAAUGUUACUCAUUGACAUACAACGCCCAAAUGGAAUAGUAAGCAUUUUAUGCAUUUUAUGUAUUGAUUUAUCCCGACAUCAUACUCAAUCUAGAAGCAGGUAAUUAAUCUUUUGUCGUUAAUAGGUAUCAAAGGUAACAGGAUUAUAAUUUAAUACGCCAGACCCGCGUUUCCUCUAUAAGACUCAUCAGUGUUAAAAAUUGUUAAAAAAGACAUCAUUAAUACUAAACUUCAAUAUUGUUUUCAGCAACUUGUGUGUGCCUUCAA
rnacentral:lncRNA from 1 species